rnacentral:rRNA from 1 species
CCUGGCGGCAAGAGCGCGGUGGUCCCACCUGACCCCAUGCCGAACUCAGAAGUGAAACGCCGUAGCGCCGAUGGUAGUGUGGGGUCU